rnacentral:rRNA from 1 species
UACGGGGGGGGGAAGCGUUGUUCGGAAUUACGGGGCGUAAAGGGCUCGUAGGCGGCCAACUAAGUCAGACGUGAAAUCCCUCAGCUUAACUGGGGAACUGCGUCUGAUACUGGAUGGCUUGGAUUCGGGAGAGGAAUGCGGAAUUCCAGGUGUAGCGGUGAAAUGCGUAGAUAUGUGGAGGAACACCGAUGGCGAAGGCAGCCCCCUGGGUUAACACUGACGCUCAUGCACGAAAGCGUGGGGAGCAAACAGG